UGUAAUGUAAACAAUGAGAUAACGUGGUGAAGAUGAUAAGGAUACUAUCCAAAGUGGACCUGUCUGCAUAGCCUCCCAAGGCACCUGGCAGAAGCAAACACUGGGACCUGUGAAGGGCUACAUCUUCUGGAAAACAAUGCAUACAAUGAAAUGCACAGCAUUUACAUGGCAGACGCUUAUUUGGACCAUUGCUAAAUUUAUCUAUAAAGCUCAGGAAGGCCCCAGAGAGCUUGCUUUCCGGAGAUUCCCCAUGCCGCCGUUAAGACCAAUUCGGAAAUCGAGGCGUGAGCCAAGCUUCAAGCGUAGCCAGAGGCGCAAAUCUCAGCCCCUCCCCAAGGCCCUGAGGUGCCUUCCCCAGGAAGACCCAAGUACCAGCCACCAGUCCCUGUGGCUACUGGCUGAGUUCAGCUGCAGUGAUCAC
rnacentral:lncRNA from 10 species